rnacentral:rRNA from 1 species
AUACGGAGGAUCCGAGCGUUAUCCGGAGUUUAUUGGGUUUAAAGGGUGCGCAGGCGGGAUGUUAAGUCGGCGGUGAAAUUUUGCAGCUCAACUGUAAAAGUGCCUUCGAUACUGGCCUCCUUGAGUGUGGAUGAAGUAGGCGGAAUUUGUGGUGUAGCGGUGAAAUGCUUAGAUAUCACGAGGAACUCCCGAUUGCGCAGGCAGCUUACUAAGCCACAACUGACGCUCAUGCACGAAGGCGUGGGGAGC